GAUGAACGCUGGCGGCGUGCCUAUACAUGCAAGUCGAACGCGCAGCGAAAGGUGCUUGCACCUUUCAAGCGAGUGGCGAACGGGUGAGUAACACGUGGAUAACCUGCCUCAAGGCUGGGGAUAACAUUUGGAAACAGAUGCUAAUACCGAAUAAAACUUAGUAUCGCAUGAUACAAAGUUAAAAGGAGCUACGGCGUCACCUAGAGAUGGAUCCGCGGUGCAUUAGUUAGUUGGUGGGGUAAAGGCUUACCAAGACGAUGAUGCAUAGCCGAGUUGAGAGACUGAUCGGCCACAUUGGGACUGAGACACGGCCCAAACUCCUACGGGAGGCUGCAGUAGGGAAUCUUCCACAAUGGGCGCAAGCCUGAUGGAGCAACGCCGCGUGUGUGAUGAAGGCUUUCGGGUCGUAAAGCACUGUUGUAUGGGAAGAAAUGCUAAAAUAGGGAAUGAUUUUAGUUUGACGGUACCAUACCAGAAAGGGACGGCUAAAUACGUGCCAGCCGCCGCCGUAA
rnacentral:rRNA from 1 species